rnacentral:rRNA from 1 species
AUUGAACGCUGGCGGCAGGCCUAACACAUGCAAGUCGAGCGAGCGGCGGACGGGUGAGUAAUGUCUGGGAACCUGCCUGAUGGAGGGGGAUAACUACUGGAAACGGUAGCUACUACCGCAUACCAUCAGAUGUGCCCAGAUUGGAUUAGCUAGUAGGUGGGGUAAGGGCUCACCUAGUCGACGAUCCCUAGCUGGUCUGAGAGGAUGACCAGCAACAAUGGAACUAAGACACGGUCCAAACUCCUACGAGAGGAAGCAGUGGGGAAUAUUGCACAAUGGGCGAAAGCCUGCUGCAGCCAUGCCGCGUGUGUGAAGAAGGCCUUCGGGUUGUAAAGCACUUUCAGCGGGGAGGCGUUACCCGCAGAAGAAGCACCGGCUAACUCCGUGCCAGCAGCCGCGGUAAUAC